UAGCUUGACACCAAAGGAUAAGUAGCCCUGACUAGCUUGCCCGGCCUCACAACAUCAACAGCCCAUCCAAAGACUCCCAGAGCACACAGCGGCAAACACUACCACCCCACGAUGGCUCUCAGUGCAAGCAGCACAGGCUUGGUGAUGCUGUGCUUCGCUUCUCUCCUCGUCUCAUCACUUGCUGAUGAUACCUCCGGAGCCCUUGCAGAUGCUGGUAAGAAUAUGGCAUCAGGAGGGGUCGUGGAUGCGUACUCCCCACCAGGGCCACCAACAUAUGGUCCUCCAACUUACGGCGCAGUGAAUAGAAUAACAGCUAGAUGUGUUCUUGUAGUUUUUUGUUGUAUGUUUUCUUUUCUUUUCUGAACCUUCUGUUUCAUUUUAAAAAGCAGGGCAGACCGCCGAGUUUAUGGAGUAUGUAUGCAAAUAAAAUUAUCAGGACUCAACAUGGAUGCACGUUUGGCUGCAUGCAUGUAUGAGCAUAUAUUCCUUGCUUAUUAGGCUCCAGAUAGUGUCAAAUCUUAUAGACUGCAAUAAAAUGCAUUUGUUAAAUCUUGUUUUUUAUCACCACAAAUUCAAAACACCGCAGCCCUUAACCCCCUUCCCCUGCUGCUGCUGCUUUGGUGCGUUCGAAAAAAGCUGCAACGGUGCAACCGAAUGGUCUCUAACGGCACCUCCCUCGACACCGACACCACAAUCAUGUCCACCGAAAAAAAAAUCAUUGCCACCAUGGCUGCUGACCUCAAGCUCUAGACACCAAUUCCCCUUGUGACCUGGUGUACUCUGCUCUCCGUUGUAACAAUAAGCUCUUGAUGCCCUUUCAUCUCCCCUCGCCCUCCCCUCUGUUGUAACCCUGGGCACUACACCGUGCCCACGCAAAAUUUUAGCCACCAUAUGUGUAGGUCCUGCACAUGCAACUUUGUUUGAAUGGAAGUUCAAGCAUGCGUGUGGCCAUGGUUGGUUCAUAAGAACCAUUUAAUUUGAAAUAAGUUAUUUUUAAAAAAGAAUUAGUCAGAAGAGCUGCCGAUGAUAUUAAAAAUAAGAAUAAGUGAACCUAGACUAGACGUUACAACAUAUGCAAGAGGAACUUCAAAAACUACAACAAGAUGGUCCAAUAUCUAUGCCAUCUACAAAGCAACUAAAGACAUCAGGGGCGGGAGGACGCGGCCGGCGGUGGGCGGGUGGAUCCGCUGCAGUUUUUUUUAUUAUUGACUGAGGCGGGCGCACAACCGCCUCAGAAAAGGGUUCAUUUACUGUGACCCUUGGUCUGAGGGCGGUUGCAAAAACCGCCUUAGUUAAUCGAUUUUGACCGUCUCAGAAAAGAUUUGUGUAAUAGUGUGUCUUGCUGAGGUCGAGAUGAAUAUCACUACAAGAAAUCCUUGGCUUUUUGACGUAAAAUCCAUUUAUGACGCUGGCUUUAUGACGUUAAUUAUGACAUAGUUAUGUGAAUUAUGACACUAUUUAUGUGAAUUAUGACAUUAGUUAUGUGAAUUAUGACAUCAAUUACAUGUAUGAUGAUAAAAAUGCACAAACUUAUGUCAUAAUUCACGUUUUCUGACAUAAACUUGUGUCAUAAUUCACAUAACUAUGUCAUAAUUAACGUCAUAAAGCCAGCGUCACAAAUGGAUUUUACGUCAAAAAGCCAAGGAUUUCUUGUAGUGUAUUUGCAUAACAACACGUCAAACCGAUGUGGUUAGGCAUAUGUUAUGUAUGCCAAUUUGAGUUGAAGAAUCGGUGAAUGCGCUUCUAUACUUAUUAAGUGUCAUUUGGCUUGUAAACCUUUACAAUUUACAAAAGGCUAAAUUGUAGCAGAUUUUAUUGUUGAGCAUCGGGCUGACAAUGAGCAUGGUAAGAUUCUUGAAGAAGGAAAUGACCGAUAUAUGAGUAUCGCCCUUACAAUUAUUUUGCCCAAGAUGUUCUGUGUUAAGCAUCGUGCAAAGCUCAUCAAAAGACUGGGGGGCAUGUUAAAAAUGCAAGCUCAUCACCAAAACUUCAAGACCAACCGAAUACUUGCCUAUACCAAGGGAAUCACAAAGACCGAUUAUCACUAAUAGUGAUCCGGCCAGAAUUGUACGUGUUAAUGGUAAUAGAGGUGAGAAGAACAAAAAACAAGAAGACAAGUGUUUGCAGCCGAGUUGAUGUCCCUCGGGCUUAUCUCACACUCAAAUGGAGGAGGUUGCAGCGGAUGCGUAAGAAAAAAUCAAUAGAGCAACAGGUUGAGGUAGUGCCGGCUAGGUCAGCAAAUACCAAGCAGGUAUGAGAGCCAAACCGAGUGGUUUCAUCAUCACCUUGAAUUAGAGCAAAUCAUGACCGACACAUAGUUUCAUCGCUCUUAGAAGCAAGAUAUGGCCGAUGUAUUGUUCAUCAUCAUCCUUAGUUAAUUUUGGUCCAGAAUAUUAUUUUUUGGCAUGCAAGCUUUGUCAAAAAAACAGGAGGCAUAUGUUGACGACCAAAAUUGGCACAA